GCAAGGAAGGAGAGAGACAUUAGAGAGAUACUUGGAGAGUAGAAGAUAAAUGUUAAAUGUGAGUCACUCUUGGCAUGUGAAUUGAUUUUGGUGGGAAGGGCUGAAAAUAAUUUUGUUUGAGGAUGUAAUUAGAGGUUUAGUAAUGAUUUAUUUGAGAUAUUUAUUAUUAUCUAUAUAUUCAAAUGGUAAUGUAAACUAAAAAAAACUUGGAAGGAUUAUUUGAUAAAAUCAUACAAUUUUAUUUUAAAG
rnacentral:lncRNA from 1 species